ACAUGUCUACAACAUAUCGUUAAUGCACCGGAUCCUAUUAGAAAUUUGUAGUUAAGAGUGCUUAGGCCAGAGUAGUACUGGGAUGGGUGACCGCCCGGGAAGUCCUAGUGUUUUACAUUCA
rnacentral:rRNA from 1 species